UACGUAGGGGGCAAGCGUUGUCCGGAAUCAUUGGGCGUAAAGCGCGUGUAGGCGGUCCGGUAAGUCGGCUGUGAAAGUCCAGGGCUCAACCCUGGGAUGCCGGUCGAUACUGCCGGACUAGAGUUCGGAAGAGGCGAGUGGAAUUCCCGGUGUAGCGGUGAAAUGCGCAGAUAUCGGGAGGAACACCAAUGGCGAAGGCAGCUCGCUGGGACGUUACUGACGCUGAGACGCGAAAGCAUGGGGAGCGAACAGG
rnacentral:rRNA from 1 species